CCUACGGGAGGCAGCAGUGAGGAAUAUUGGUCAAUGGACGAGAGUCUGAACCAGCCAAGUAGCGUGAAGGAUGACUGCCCUAUGGGUUGUAAACUUCUUUUAUAUGGGAAUAAAAUGUUCCACGUGUGGGAUUUUGUAUGUACCAUAUGAAUAAGGAUCGGCUAACUCCGUGCCAGCAGCCGCGGUAAUACGGAGGAUCCGAGCGUUAUCCGGAUUUAUUGGGUUUAAAGGGAGCGUAGGUGGAUUGUUAAGUCAGUUGUGAAAGUUUGCGGCUCAACCGUAAAAUUGCAGUUGAAACUGGCAGUCUUGAGUACAGUAGAGGUGGGCGGAAUUUGUGGUGUAGCGGUGAAAUGCUUAGAUAUCACGAAGAACUCCGAUUGCGAAGGCAGUUCACUGGACUGCAACUGACACUGAGGCUCGAAAGUGUGGGUAUCAAACAGGAUUAGAUACCCCUGUAGUC
rnacentral:rRNA from 1 species